UACGUAGGUGGCAAGCGUUAUCCGGAAUUAUUGGGCGUAAAGCGCGCGCAGGUGGUUUCUUAAGUCUGAUGUGAAAGCCCACGGCUCAACCGUGGAGGGUCAUUGGAAACUGGGAGACUUGAGUGCAGAAGAGGAAAGUGGAAUUCCAUGUGUAGCGGUGAAAUGCGUAGAGAAUAUGGAGGAACACCAGUGGCGAAGGCGACUUUCUGGUCUGUAACUGACACUGAGGCGCGAAAGCGUGGGGAGCAAACAGGA
rnacentral:rRNA from 1 species